rnacentral:rRNA from 1 species
GUGAGACGCAGCAGACGGCUCAGUAACACGUGGCUAACCUACCCUCAGGACGGGGACAAACCCGGGAAACUGGGGCUAAUACCCGAUAGGCGAGGGCGCCUGGAAUGGUUCUUCACCCAAAGGGCUUUGGAAGCAUGCUUUUCAAUGUCGCCUGGGGAUGGGGCCGCGUCCGAUCAGGUUGUUGGUGAGGUAACGGCUCACCAAGCCUAUAACCGGUACGGGCCGUGAGAGCGGUAGCCCGGAGAUGGGCACUGAGACAAGGGCCCAGGCCCUACGGGGCGCAGCAGCCGCGAAAACUCCGCAAUGCACGAAAGUGUGACGGGGCUACCCCGAGUGCCGUCCGCUGAGGAUGGCUUUUCCUCGGUGUAACUAGCCGGGGGAAUAAGGAGAGGGCAAGACUGGUGUCAGCCGCCGCGGUAAUACCAGCUCUCCGAGUUGUAGGGAUGAUUAUUGGGCUUAAAGCGUCCGUAGCCGGCUUAGCAAGUCUCCUGUUAAAUUCAGCGACCUAAUCGUU